AAGUCGUAACAAGGUUUCCGUAGGUGAACCUGCGGAAGGAUCAUUACACAUAUUACGGGGGGCCGGAUCCAGGGCGUGUAGGCAACUACACGUCUUGCCCUGCCCUGUCUGAAUAUUCUACCCGUGUCUUUUGCGUACUAUUCGUUUCCUCGGUGGGCUUGCCUGCCGAUAGGACACCCAUAAAACCUCUUGUAAUUGCAAUCAGCGUCAGAAACAAACUUAAUAAAUUAAAACUUUCAACAACGGAUCUCUUGGUUCUG
rnacentral:misc_RNA from 1 species